AUACGGAGGGGGCUAGCGUUGUUCGGAAUCACUGGGCGUAAAGCGCGCGUAGGCGGAUCAGUCAGUCAGGGGUGAAAUCCCGGGGCUUAACCCCGGAACUGCCUUUGAUACUGCUGGUCUUGAGUUCGAGAGAGGUGAGUGGAAUUCCUAGUGUAGAGGUGAAAUUCGUAGAUAUUAGGAAGAACACCAGUGGCGAAGGCGGCUCACUGGCUCGAUACUGACGCUGAGGUGCGAAAGCGUGGGGAGCAAACAGGAUUAGAAACCCCGGUAGUCC
rnacentral:rRNA from 1 species